GACGUAGGAGGCGAGCGUUAUCCGGAUUCACUGGGCGUAAAGCGCAUGUAGGCGGUCGUUCAAGUCGCGUGUGAAAGCCCCCCGGCUCAACUGGGGAGGGUCACGCGAUACUGAUCGACUCGAAGGCAGGAGAGGGUAGUGGAAUUCCCGGUGUAGUGGUGAAAUGCGUAGAUAUCGGGAGGAACACCAGUGGCGAAGGCGGCGAUCUGGGAAGAUACUGACGCUGAGGUGCGAAAGCGUGGGGAGCAAACAGG
rnacentral:rRNA from 1 species